UACGGAGGGUGCAAGCGUUAAUCGGAAUUACUGGGCGUAAAGGGUGCGUAGGUGGUUGAUUAAGUUAGCUGUGAAAUCCCCGGGCUUAACCUGGGAAGGUCAGCUAAGACUGGUUAACUUGAGUCUAGGAGAGGGUAGUGGAAUUUCCGGUGUAGCGGUGAAAUGCGUAGAGAUCGGAAGGAACACCAGUGGCGAAGGCGGCUACCUGGCCUAAGACUGACACUGAGGCACGAAAGCGUGGGGAGCAAAC
rnacentral:rRNA from 1 species